GUGGUGCUUGUUUAAAGAUAACUAAUAAUUUGGCGGGUUAAUCAUUAAUUCGUGUUGUUUUUUCCAAACUUAGUAAGUCUACAUCUAGAAUCUAGACUAGAUUAAUUUAACAUUUUAGUGCUAACUGGCAAAUCACGGAAAUUUUGUUCAGGUUCAUGUAUUAAUAAACUGUAAGUUCAUUACGCUCAAUAUUGUUACAUCCUAGAUAAUCUAUAUUCAGGUAACAUAAUGUGAAGAUCUCAGAACAUCAUGUGAAAUGAGAGAACACUGAGCUUAUUAAGUAUUUUGAUUUUAACACACAUUGGACGAAUCAUUAAAUUACCGCACAGCUAUUCAAACUUGUUUUUGUUUCAACACAUGUAAAUAUUUUAUAGCUAUUUUUAUCAUCUAAAGGAAAAAAUGGAACAAGAAAUUGAUGCUGUAGAAAUAGAAAACCUAAACUGGUAUCAUCCAACACUAAGCCGCCACACAGCAGAAAGUAUGUUAAUACAGAAUGGAAUGGAUGGCACCUAUUUACUCAGGCCUAGUUCUAAAGGAUCUGGGGAAUAUGCCCUAUCAGUCAAGUGUGAACAGACAGUGAAACACUUUAAUAUUGUAUGGACAGGAAAAGAGAUUCAUUUUGGACAAUGCACUUUUAAUUCUGCUGCAGACUUUGUGGAGCACUUUAGAAACAAGCCACUUCUUUGUGGUGAGUCUGGCCAGGUCGUCUUACUGAAGAUACCCUACCCAAGAGACAUUAGUGAGCCUGACAUGUAUGAAUCUGUAACUCUGCAUGCUGAGUUUAGCACAGCAGAUGAUUCACGCAUCAUUAAUGCUGACUUCUCUGUUAACUCAAAGGAAGGAUUUCUCACAAAAAUGGGGCGCCAUUUUAAGACUUGGAGAACUCGUUGGUUUGUAUUGCAGCGUAAUGAAUUGAAGUAUUACAAGCAAAAGUUCAGCAAGACUCCAAUACGAGUUCUGGAUUUAAAUGAGUGCAGGGGGUGCUGUCAAGAUUUUACGCAGAAGGACAAAAGCUGUGUAAUUAGACUGGAUAUGGGCUGGCGAGUUUUUUUACUCUAUUCUGUGUCAGAACAUGAUAUGGAGGACUGGAUCAAGCGAAUAAACUGGCGGUUACGAGCAAAUCAAACAAGGGGAAGCAUAAACUCUGGACACUCCUGAAAUUAAAAAGUAAAAAUGUUUCCUCUGUGAAAUUGCUGCCUCAGUUAUAACUAGUCAAUGCUGGUAGCUUUCCAAAUUGAAGUUGAAUAGAAAUAGGAAUUUGUCAUAAUUUUCUUGCAAACUUUUUUUUAAAGCCAUUUUAGAAAGAUUAUGUUUUUUUUUUGUUUUUUUUUUAUUUGUUUGCAAAAAUUGAUGUACCAAGGAAUAUUUUGGUACGCUUUGAAAAUCCUAUCCUCCGUGCGUAGGAGUUUUAAUAACUUUGAUUAUAAAGACUUUUUUUCUUGUCUUUAAACCAGUUAAAUUUAUUUCAAAGUGUAUAAUUAUUAAAUUUAUAUGUUUAUUUGUGUGCUAUUUUUGAAAUUAUUGUUUAAAACAAAAUAUAUAUUCCUAGCAUUAUCUUGGUGCUUGUUUUUCAGGAGUGUUUUAUAAUAUUUAGACUAGUUUUUUUUUCUUGACAAUCUUGGUAAAGGGACAUCUUGUAUAUGCUACUAUCAAUUUAAUGAAGAAGCAUUCAGAUAAUGCAGUGUUGUUGUUUUUUUUCAUAGUCCAAUUAUUUAAAUACCGUUUUUAAGUAUUUUCCUUUUUUUUUUUUUUUUUUUUUUUUUUUUUAUCAUUAAUUAUGUAUUGUUAAUUUGAACAAUUCAGGCUUUACUUUUUCUCUCCUUGCAAGAUAAAAUUUAUUUUUUUUUUUCUGGUGUUCUGUUCAAAAAGUAUUAAUUUUCUUGUUUUUGGACAAUGAAAAAAAUCUUGUUGAAUAUAUUUUUGUACAUCUUUUUUCAUUCCACUCUUCCUUGAUGCAAUAAACACCUCUAUAAGUGUUACCAAACCCAACUUCCUUGUAAAUAAACGUAUCGCAUAGCAAUUUUAUGGAUAGUUUUGUCAUAAAAUAGUAUUAAAUAACAAAUUAUUGUACAUUUUUUAAAGAAUAUACCUAUCACUUUUUUUUUUUUUGAUUUUGUACUGGUUUACUGUUAUCACUUUAGUUGAACGCAAAUAGAACAAAAGACUGAAAACAAAUAUUAUAAAUACUUGUUUGAAGGAAUGUUUUGUUCAUAUUGUAAAUGAACAAGUUGUCUUCAGUUGUAAAAUAUAUUUAUAAAGCACAAUUUCGUUAAAGACCACACAUUAGGUAAUUCUUUGUUAAUUAAAAUUUGGUUUGUUUAUAAUUAUUAUUAUUUUUUAUUUUAUUUUUUUAAUCAUUACAUGUAGUAGAACAUCGAUGCAAUAUAGGUCACUUGAGAUACUCUGGAUUUAUCAAAUUUAUGUUACAAAAAAAGUAAAAGUUGACUUUUUCUGUAAUUGCUCUUUAAGGCUCUUUUUCUUCCCUCUAAAUUAAAGAACAGUAUUAAGUGUCUUCUUGUGUAGAUACAAUAUUCAUUUUAUUCAGAGAUAGUGGUAGUUAUCAUUUCUAGUGUGACUUUUGUUAAAUAGUAUCAUUAGUGCUGCUUAUUAGAAAUGUCAAAAACAUUUUCAGGAACUUGACAUACUUCUAGUGUGACAUUAUAUUGCAAGAUCUUGCCUAUUAAAGAAAUUAGGCAACAUUUAAAGCAACAACAUUUCUGCCAAGUAUUUAUGCUAAGAUAGAUAAAAGCUGUAAAUGGUAAUUAUAUUCAUUAACUUGUCAGACAAUUGAUAAACACAGAUUUUAGUGUACUGUUUUAUCUUUCCAACAUUGUGAUUGCUUAGUUUUAUGUGACAUUGAGUGCACUACUACACUGUCCCAGACUGUUCAUGUCAUAAGAAAUUGAGACUUUACUGCAUCUUAUUUUUUUCUGAUUCAACCUGUUCUUCUAUUGAAUGGUGUUGAACAAAAAGUUUUUUUUUUUUUUUUUUUUUUUUUUUUUUGUAGUUUGUCCUAGGGUGUGAAAUAAAAGUAUUUGUAUUCCGAUUUUUUUUUUAUUAGGUUAUGUUAAGUUAGAAUAAAUAUUUCAAGUUAAUGACAAUUAGGAAUAAGUCUUAUGUUGUUGUUUUUUACUUGCAGACUUUAAAGUUAGACUUUUAGAAUUGGCUUUAUCAUACUUUUAAGUUUUUAUAACAAUUUAUUCAUUAGUACUAGGUCAUUAAUAGCAGUGACAUUAUGAUUUGUUUAUAUUAUCCUUUUGUAAUAUGUGAACCAAUAUUUGUAUGUGGAAAAUGUUUUUCUGUCAUCUUGUGUUUUUCCCCUUCAAUACUCUGAUACAUUUUUUUUGUUACUUUACUCAUUGUUAUGAUGAUAUGAUAGUUUUUUCUUUUUUAUAUUUACAAAUGUUGUUGUCAGUUUAAACAGAAUACGAUUUCUUCAAACUGACCACUAUUUUAUCUAUAAUAAUUGUUUUCUAAGGCUGUGUUAAUGUUUUAUAUGCAAUGUAUUGUACUGUUAAAACUAUUUUUUUCCUUUUUUUUUUUUUUUAAGACAUUGUUAAUUUCCAAAGACUAGCCUUGAUAUUGAAGAAAAUAAAAUGAUUUUGUUUUCUCAGGUAAUGAAUCCAUUAUUUUAUUAAACCUUAACAGUAAUAUUAAUAGAGUAAUAAUACUUAGCUAAUCAUUUUAAUAUUGAAGAUAAAGUGUAAGAUGCAGUUUUGUGACUACCUCUUUGGCGACGUACAUUAAAUUGUUUUUUCUCUUCAAAGUCCAUGGGGUCUUAAACAGUAAAUUUGGAUAACACAUUGGCUCAAACAAAGCUUUUAUCUGUUACCUAGGAAAUGCAGUUUCUUUUCUUUUUUGUGUUUUCACCCUAAAGACAUCUGUUGGAUCUGCAGCACUAAAGCCAAAAUUUGGUCAGCAUUAUUGAACAUUAUGUGAUACUGUUUGUUGCAUGGAGUGUUUGUUCUGAAACUAUACAAGUAUUACAUUUUUUUGAUUGCUUUUUUUCUGGAAGACUGACUUGACAUACACACACAGGGCCAGCUCUAGUCUUUCAGUAGUCUACCUAUGUUUGACAUUCUUAGUCAAUGUAAGUAUGUGCCUUAAGAAUGCCUUGUUGUUUUAUUUCAGUAUCACUUCUUAACACUUUUUUUGGUCUUUUACUCUCUUUUGAUUAUGUAGUAUACUUUUAGAUGUCUGGUCAUGAGGCAUGUGCCUCAAACUGUUAAUAGUCCAGAGUUCAGACACUGCCACUUCCAUCCCUGUCAUCCUGCAGGAAGUUAUGUAAAAGUAAUCAUUUCUAAAAUAAACUCAUGAAACACAUGUGUGUAACUUAUUGCUUCCAUUUAUAGAAAUGACUUGUAGAAACAAAAAUUGACUACUAUAAAAAGUCUAAAUGACAUUUCACUUCAUAUGUUAACCUUGUAUUCUUUUUCCAAUAUUUUGUUUGUUAUUAAAACUAUAUUUAAUGUUACACAUUUAACGAUGUGUCUAUUGAUAUUCAAACUGUGACAAAGCAAAUUUGACUUCACUAGGCCUGUUCACUGAUCUAAUUCUACAUAGAACUUUUCUACCAAUAAAUGUGGUAUUUGUAGCCCUCAUGGAAGGUUUCUAUGAAGACAAGAUAAACUUCCUGGUAAUGACACACUCUUCUAAAAGGAAAUACUUGUUUUGUGAUUUUCCACAGGUAAUAGUUAAUACUUUGAAAUAAAUUGAUUAUUCAGCCAGUACAUAUAGUAAAGACUGUCAUUAUAGAUACGCCUUUAGUCAAUAAAGUGAUAGCUUGUAGUUUUUUGUUUUUUUUUAUCUUCAGAUUUGUCAUUGCCCCUUCAACCCCCUCUUCGUUUACAAGCCAGAAAAGUGAAAUAAGAAAAAGACUGGCCAGAUUCCUUUAUUCUGACACAGAGAACUCUGUGCAUGCAUUUCAUUUUUUUUUGUCUCUUUAAUUUUUUUGCUAAUUGAAAUUAACUUUACACGUACCUAUACAUACAUUUUUUUAUUGGUUAAGUUUUUCAUCUAUUUCAUAGCUUAUUUUUUUUUUUUUUACAUUUUUCAGUUGACCAACUUUUAUUGAUCCAUUUGUCUAAUAAGAAAUUUAAUUAUUUUAAGAGCUAGCAGUAAAAAAAAAAAAUCAGAAAAAUUGAAAAUUAAAUUGAGCAGAUGAGUCUUGUUGUUUGGUUUCACUUGUAUAAGGAAUUGUACAUUAUAUAUUUUAGAAUUGCCAAAAACACAGACCAGAAUAUAUUUUAUCUUAGACUGGACACAAAACCUAUUUAAAUGUUUAUAACAUUUUCUAUUGUGGAAAAACAAAAAGACACCAAAUGAUUCUGUAAAGUCACUCAUGUUGAGAAAAAUUAUUUUUUGUCUUCCUUAUUUCAGAAUCAAGCUACAAAUUGUCACCAAUCACAGACCUUUAUAUACAUAGCUUUUUAAAAAUGUAUUUCUAAGAUUUUUUCCAACCAUCAUUGAGUAUGUUCUGAUUAAAUAUUUUUCCCAGGUAGAACAAGUCAGAAUGACUUUGUGCUGUAAUUAAUCUAGGCUAGUCUUAAAGUGUAAAUCUAUACAUCUACACAUAUGCAAAUCCAGACCUCUAUUUUCAGCUUUUAUUGACUUCUACCAUUAAAUUGUACUUUAAAUAUAUAUGUAUAAAUCUGGAUUUUUUUUAGCUGAUUCUUAAGGGAAAAACAAAUUCAAAGGUGAAGUAAAGUGCUGAACCAAUGAAUGAUGCAUUCAUAUUACAUAUAUAAAGGCAGUACUAAAUAAUACAUUUUUAAUUAGAGAAAAUACUGAAUUAACUAAAACUAAAUAAGGGACCAUCUGAUAGGAUGACUGUCUGGUAGCAGUGCAGUUCCAUGGUCUAGUUUGCUUAGUGAAAGUACUUUAUCUCUCUCAUUAAACAAUUGGUCUCAAGAGCUGCUUUUAUAUUUAAAUUAAGUAUGCAUCCUUAAAUGGGAAAAGGAAGCUUUUAAUUUUGGGAUCUGUCUUGUCAAGUUUAGAUUUAAAAAUUACUAUUGGCUUUUUUACUUGGAUAGUAAUGAAGGAGCGGUAACUAAAAUACACAGAAAAAAAAAAAGGUUUUUGUUAUUUAUGUAUUUUCAAAUGUAAUAGCUACAAAGGGUAAUUUUUGUUUUUAAAAAAAAAAAGAA